rnacentral:rRNA from 1 species
AGGGUGUAAACGCUGCGGGCUUGGUGUUGGGGGUCCUUAGUGGGCGCCCAGUGGCGGAGAGAAGUUGUUAAGCCUGCUGCUUGGGGAGUAUGUCCGCAAGGAUGAAACUUAAAGGAAUUGGCGGGGGGAGCACCGCAACGGGAGGAGCGUGCGGUUCAAUUGGAUUCAACGCCGAAAAACUCACCAGGAGCGACGGAUAUAUGAAGGUCAAGCUGAUGACUUUACCUGAUUUUCCGAGAGGUGGUGCAUGGCGUGUGACUGU